CGCAUUUUAGACUUAUCAGUAAAGUUCGAUACAAUUUAGACAAAGGAGAAAUGGACAUCAAAAUAGUUUUAUUGUGCACUUUAUUAGCCAUAACUGUUAAAAGUGAACAUUGUGGUACUGGGACAGAUUGUAAGACAACAAGGUGUGCUCAUACACAUAAUACUACAUGCUUGUUUGGAACAUGUGCCUGUGUGGAAUAUUUCGGCAAUUCAUGUAACGACUUUGAGGACUGUAAACAAGAUGAUUGCGUCAAUGGCGGCCACGGACAUUGUUUUGAAUACAAAUGUCUCUGUUUACAUCACCCUAUUGAA